rnacentral:rRNA from 1 species
UACGUAGGGUGCAAGCGUUAAUCGGAAUUACUGGGCGUAAAGCGUGCGCAGGCGGUUGUGCAAGACAGAUGUGAAAUCCCCGGGCUCAACCUGGGAACUGCAUUUGUGACUGCACGGCUGGAGUGCGGCAGAGGGGGAUGGAAUUCCGCGUGUAGCAGUGAAAUGCGUAGAUAUGCGGAGGAACACCGAUGGCGAAGGCAAUCCCCUGGGCCUGCACUGGACGCUCAUGCACGAAAGCGUGGGGAGCAAACAAGG